GGACACUGCAUCCCCAGAGUGGUGCCAGGAGCUGGUGGCUGCCUGCAGUGACACAGCCAUGGCAUCACCAGGGGAUACAAUGGCAAAGCUGGAUGGGAAAGUGCUCGUCGGCUUUGUUUCAGGUCUGGACGGCAUCUGGCUUUCCCACAACAGAGUAUCACAAGACAUCUGAAGCUGGCUUUAAUCACUUUGGAUUUUAUACGGUCUAAAUGAGGUAUUUUCCAUUCUUGCUACCAUACCUUUACCGCUGUGAUCCACAGAAGCUGUGAUCCACUGGAAAAGAGCUGUCCCACACUGUACGCUAUUUCCAGAACUCAAAAGAUGCUACUACCAUGAAAUGUAAAGGAAACGCUGCCAAGUGAUGAUCGGAGAAAUACUGUUUCCUAUUUAACAGUAAAUACUUCAAGCAUUAUCAUCUCCAAGAAAAAAAGAAGCAUAACUAAUUCCAACUGAAAUUUGUUAUGUCUAUUUGUCUGUUUUUAAUUCUGUAAGCUACCACUGCUCCAAGAAAAUGAAUCAGAUCAAAGAAGUUACUAAGGAUUUUUCAUCUGGGGAAAACCUAAGAGCCCAUACUGAGGUUGUUGUCUAAGAUAAGGGGCCAGGAGGUUAAAUUAGCACAUUGCAUGUCAUCAGGAAACCUGUUUGUUUCUGAUUCUCAACCAAGCAAUCAGUCUUCAGCGAGUAUGUGAGAAGUCUGCAUUCUCUGCUGUCUAAAACUGUAAGAAUUUUGUCUAUAAUGCCUUGUUUGUUAAAGCAGGAAACUACACUACCAUGAUUACUUACAUAUUACUGCCUCAGUGCUCCAAACCAUUGAGCACAGUUAUUUCUACACUCCUUUUUCGACCCUUCUUUCACUAUAUGAACCUUUCAAAGGUACAAGAAUCCCACUGUGAUUAACAUGAAUUUUGGUGAGUCCAAGGAUACAUCUGAAAACAAGAAAUCGUCUUCACCUUUUUGAAAAAUACAGUUUGUAACUUCUUUUAAAUUACCUGAAGAGUCAGAAUACCUGAGAUUUUGCAGGAUGCACAUGGCAUCCAAAUUUGAGCACCUAAGUUAAAACUCUGCUGACAUUUUGCAUAAAAGGCAAAUAAGGGAAACAUACAAACAAACCAAAACUAAUCACAAAGCUCUUACUCUUUGUUGAGAAUUUUCAAAUUCGUCUUGGCAUUUUACGUUUGGAGUGAAACAGGUGGGUUUUUUUAGACAUGAAGUAUUUUAAAGAGCGGAAGACAUUUACAUAUUUAGGAUUAAUCCUCAGUAUCAUAUAUGUCCUCUAUAGAGUUGAGAAGAAUACUGUUUUAGACACACUGAGUCCAUUACAUAAAUAUUCUUUGGUCUCUCCUCACAGCAGGAAAAAAAAAAAAAGAAAAAAAAACAGUAGAUGAUGAAAAAGAAAUCCUCUAUUUUGAAUAUUUUCUUUCUUUAACUAAAGAAAUGAGUGAGUGGUUUAGGAGACAGCUACAAAAGUGGGGAAAAACAACUUACUGUCUAGUAUUUUUAUAACAUUAUAAACCUAUGUGAGAACGCAUAAAUAAAAACAAGAAAAAAAGAGAAUAUAAAUAGACCAGGUACAUCCUAGAAAAGUCUACAAGGAAGUCUAUAGUCUUAUUCCUUUCUACAGGAAUGAGUAAUGAACACCUUAGAGUAAUAUAAUUGUGAUGAUUCAAGAAUAACCAGCAAUAUCUCUUGCUGGUAGAUGGAUUUGCUCUUUCCUUGUUCUAAGAUGCUAAGCCUAAACUAUUUUGGAUGCAUUUUGGCUUUUUCACCAUUGCUUCUUCCCUGUGAAUGAAGAGCCAAUCUGCCACUCAGGACCAGCAAAUUCACUUUUGCAGGAGCAAGUUUCACACUCUGAGUGAUUGCAGUCUUCCUACAGUGAUGAAGGACUAUAUACUUUUGCCAUAAUGCUGAUUUGAAGUAUCUGCUCUCCCUGUUGCAUUACAUUCCAGGUUGCAACAGCUCUUCUAAAUAAUUAGAUGCUAAGGACCAGCACUAGACACAAUCACAAACAGAAGCAAACCAGUGAUUCCUGCAAGAGAGGGCUGGAAAUGGGGGUUUACUGACUGCCCUGCUGUCAGGGCACUGCAGCUCGCAGCUCUGAUGUGUCACAGAGGACACCUACAUGGGGAGCAUUUCCCUCUCCCAUAUUUUCCAUAGUGGUUGUUGUCUAUCCCACCACAGAAAGUUGCAUGGUGUUCUAAUAAUUAUGUAUGUCGUGCUGGGAGCUUUUCCUUUUCUUCCAGCAGAAGGAGGACAGGGGGAGGAGAGGAUGUGUCAGACCAAUUUACAUGCAAAUCCUGCGCCUCCGCUCCAAAGCACUUUAAAAGCACAGUUGUCCAAAAAUAAUAUAUGCCCAGCAAUGUCUUAUUGCCUUUGUACACUUUUGAGAUGUUGGCCAGUGAUGAUAAAGCUUGUUAACUGCAAAUUCUGGCAACAUGGCCUCUAAGGACCACAGCUAUUGUGAGCAACUUGAUAAGAAGAAAUCAUUAGUUACUGUGUUUGCAGAGCUGUACCACACAGGCAUUCUGGAAGACAUGACUACAGAAAAUUUUAUACUCUUCUGGUGUGAAACAACUUGAUAAUAUCUGCAUGGGGAGCCCAGCUAUGCUAUGUGGACAACCACAGGUGGAAGGCAGCAGAAACACACUAGCAACAGUGACUGGCCUUCUGUUGGCCUACAUGAGUAAAUAUCCACCUCGCUGCUCUGCCACUUUUGUUAAACCACCCUGUUUCCAGGUAAUACCGAAGCUCAGCACUGGGGAGCACACAGCACGUUCCUCCAAGGCAGCACCCCAAUGCUAGCAGCUGCAGCUGUGACUGGGGAAGCACCUCAACCAACAACACAGCAGCCCAGUGGGGUGGGAGGUGCAAGCUGCCAGGCACAGCUCGCUCAGCACCACGGCUGUAUGGCACCACGGUGAGGCCUCCCACCGCCCAGCAGCACUUCAGCUCCUCAACAAACAAAAUCACAACACCAUUGUUGUAUGUGCUACUCUGUAUUAACUAUCUACUAGCAGAGAAAAAUAACUCUUUUUUUUAAGUGUUUUAAGUUAAGCAAAUCCUUGGGCUUCCAUGAAUGGAACACCAAGAACUUUGCUCAUUUAGCAUUAACAGCCAAGAAGACACUACUGUUCUUCCAACUUCGUUUUUAAGCUCAUAAGACUGUAAUCUUGUUAGUACCCAGUAAGAAAAAAUUAAACAGUUAGUUACAGAAGAAAGCCCUAAAAUAUUAAAAACAUGAUUUCUUUAAAGCUGGAAAAAAAAUUAAAUGCCACAAAUUGAAAUUUUCAUUAUGUGUGAGCUAGUCAAAAAGGUUUUUUGCAGUCUGAAGCCAUGACUUUCACUCUUGGCAAACGAGUUUGAGUGAGUAACCUGAAAGAUAUGUGAAGACAAUCACUGUAUUUUAAAAUAUUCUAUUUUAAAAGAGCACAAGAAGUAAUACAUUUUAUAUUUAUGUGUGGCUUUAUUUAAAUAAAGCAGACAUGACUGCUUUGAACACUAGCUGUGAGACAUAUGGCUGCACAGAGCAUACAGGCACUGAGUAUGUAAAGCAGGCAAAUGUUUGUACAAGUGUCAAAGCAUGUCGUGAUCCUACUGAGAACCUGAUUGAUCACAAUCCUGAAUGGCCCAUUUUUAGUUCAAGGAGAAGAAUCCUCACCUUUCAACUACUAUCAGGGUUACUGCAUGCCCCAGCACAGAAGAACUCGUAGAUCUAAAGGCUGAAAAACAGGAAUAUUUAGCACCAUUUUUAUAAUGAACUCAAAACUCUAAGCAAAGACAGACCUUCAAAUCCAAGUUUGUCCCAUGGUGAGAAAAGAAAAAAAUGGAGAGAGAACCUGCUGCAUUGAUUCUUUUAAAAGAGUGAUUCUAAACUGCUGCAAAAUGUUUUUGUUCUUUAGCUUAAAUGACAGCAAAGCAUGUUAGAUGUAGACUAACCUACUCCAGCCAUACAUUAGUCCUUCCCACUGGCUUACCGUAACCCACAGGUUUAGUGAAAUGCACCACUGAUAAUUGACAUGCACAUCAGACCAAAGCCUAGCAUACUCUUAAUACAUCUUGCAGAAGCAAAGGAAUAUUUCAAGAACCUUCAUCUUAUAGCAAUGUGUAAUUCAAGUAAGGGAAAGACCGAAAAGGGGAUAUUGUGUGUUCUGCCACGCAUCACUGCUGCUUUGUGUCCCCACAACGCUGGCAGCCAUGGGCAGCGAUGCACUGCCAAGCAGAGGCUCACCACUUGUUUACAGAGCUCUGUCUGGAGGAAGCAGGGAGCAUUUCAUUCCCAUCUCCAGCAGACCUUUCAAGGCAGCUGCCAAGAACACUCUCGAAAGGCUUCAGAGAGAGAGCAAACUCCAGUAUUUUAUUCACUGAAGAGACUGGUGUGGUGCUGGGCACUCUGAAGAGGAGUGAGAGGCAGUAAGCACUACUCUAUUCAAAGGGUUAAAAUGUUUUCACAGACUUUCAAAUGUCAAAGUCAUAGGAAAAUGUCCAUGAAUUCAAAGUGAAGGACAGAUUAGCAAUCAACACAUAAUUACCUUUCAGAUUAUGAUCUCUACACAAAUAUUUGACACAAUAAAUGACAAAUAAAUUAAACUAGUAUGCUCUAUUUCUGUAUGAUAUAUGGAAAAGUCCUAAAUGUUUGGUUGGGAUUUCAUGCUGUAGAGGGCUACAGUUUCAAUGCUUUAAUUUUUAAAAUCAAUACUUAAUUAGUUCCAGGGGGUUUCAGAACUGUUAAACAAGUACACUGUGCGUUUCAAUACAGCCGUGUUUCAUGUAGACCCAUACCAGUUGUGAAACUGGUUCAUGAGAUCCCAUUAUCUUUGGAAGAGCCCACGAGCUAAUAUGAAAAUAAAGACUAGAACAAGAGGUUUCAGAGAAAACUAAUAAACAAUCCUUCCUUCCUUCUUAUAAAAUCAUUAAUAGAAGUAAAAUUGCGUAAGCACUUUUCCACUUAAACUACCACUGUGCAGUCACCAACACUGAUAAGUGAGAUACAAGCUUCACUGUACCCAAUGGUUACUUCUCUACCUUUAGAGUCGUACUUCAAUUUCUCAGUUCAGUGGCUAUGUGUUCAUGCACUGUGACCAAAUUAUGUGCACGUCCCUGUGUCAUCGGAGGCUGCCAAGUCUCAAAGCAGUUCAGUAAAAAAAAAAAAAAUCUCCACUAUUUUUCAGAACAAUUCCUUCAGGAUUUGGAGGACCUGGGAGGUGGGGCAUUAUUUUUCACCCACGCUGGGUGGCUGGAUAUGCAGUUCUUAAGAUAAAAAUAAUAAAUUGUUGUGAAAUGCUAAAAAAAGGAAAACACAAAAAUUGCCUCCUGACAACCAGCACAAAAGCGAGAAGUGAAAACCUUUGUUUUGCUAGAAAAAGAGUCCCAUGAUUGACUAUCACCAUACUCGAUAUGUCAGUGUCCACAAAGCACAGAAACUUGCAGCACUGCCUGGCUGCUGCCAUUCCCAACCUGCUGACACAGCCCCAGCAGCAGUGACCACACAGACUCCACAAUUUAUUAGGGCAAGUUUUAACAGCUACCAAGUACUCUCAGAAUAGCAGUACUCUUUUCUUUUUAAUAAAUGAGUAUUUUGAAUAUGAAUACUUUAUGUAUUCUGCAUUUCCUCCAGCACAGCAGCAAUACCUGCCAAAGAUUUUUAAUUUAAUUUUGACUAUUUGGGAAACACAGGCAAGGAAAAACAACAGCAGGGGCUGUGCUGUCAGCAGCUCUUUACACAGUAUGGGUAAUUGCUUACAACCUAGGUGUUGCUACAGUGCUUCUAUUAUCUCUGCUUCUUCCACAAGAACAUUUGAUACAAAAAUUAUAUUCAAUUUCUAUUCCCACUCUAGUCCCACACAAACGCACGUAAAAACAAAGGCAGCAACAACUGUGUUACUUUGUUUGCAUAUUAGUGAACAGAAAAGGAAAGAAAAUGACUCAAAUAACAGGCAUGUAAUAGAAUGCCAUUUUUAUCUAUAAAUAACAUUUUUAAAUUCAGAUCUGCAGAACUGUCUAAUAUUAGCAAAGAAGCCGAAACCCUUACACAGCUUGGAAACACUCAGCAUUACAAGAUUCACCCCUCCUACUGGAAUUUACCUGCCUUUGUGCCCACGUUGGAUAACUGCAGGUGAAUAGGCUGACAAGGAGUUACAGAAAGUGACAGUGGAAGAAAAGCACCUUUCAGGGAUUCUGUGUGUAGGAGUAACUGACAGAGUUAAUUUUAUCAGUCUUUCUGGCUUAUUCCAAAUGGCAGUCAACACCCACAGCUCUCGCUGAUGAAACAGCCCCCUCCGUACAGCUGACUGCAAAUACAAAUGCACAACUGAAGCAUCAGUGGCAUGCCUGCUCAGUCAUACAGACAGAUUUCUAUCAAGUUGUUAUCUUAGAAUUGCAGAACAGCUCAUGUUGGAAGACAUCUCUGAAAAUAGUCUGGCCCAAACCCUGCUCAUCCAGACCAUGCUGCCCAGGACCAUGUCCAGGUGUUUUCUGGAUCUCCAAGGAGACUCCUCUCUGGGUAACCAGCGUUCUAGCAGCCACACAGCACAGAAUUGAUCCCUGUGUUCAGAGUGAGCCACUGUGUGCUAGUGUGUGCCCACGAUCUGUGCCUCUCGUCCUGGCACUGAGCACCACUGAACAAAGCCUGGCCCCAUCCUCUCAGUACUCUGCUUUCCAUUAUUGAUGGAUACUGAUGAGAUUUCUGAGCCUCCUCUUCUCCAGGCUGAACAGUGCCGGCUCACUCAGCCUCAUCUCACAUUAGAGGUGCUCCAGGCUCUUCAUCAUUUUCAUGGCUUUUCUCUGGACUCUCUCCUCCAGUAGCUCCACAUUUCUCUUGAAAAACACAGUAUGAAGCCAAAAAAACUAAAGAAUUCAAAAAGAAACUGGAAUAAAAUCACAAACAAAACAACAAAAAAGCCCAACUUUAUUAUUAUGAUUUGUGGGAGGCUCGACUCAUGGUUUCUGAACGUGACGUUGAUCUAUCACCUUCAGAACACUCCCCUGGCUGUGUUAAUCCCCUUCUCAGACUCUCUGACUGUAUCUAUUCUAGAGGGAUGAAUAAUGACCACUCCUCGGCUUAGUGUUAUAUGAUAGCAUUAAUUUUCCUGAGUAGGAUUUACAUUAUAUGAAGACUUAUAAUUCACAUUUGGUCCUAGAAGUAAUUAAUUCAAUUUCUCAACCUAUAAACUAAAUAGCUUGUGUCUCUGGGCAAGCCUACACCUCUCCACGGGUUGCAAUGCAGAGAUCACGAGCCAGAUGAGGUAAAACUGGCUGCCAAACUGCAAAGGAAAGGCCACAGAAGCACAGCACUGCAGCUGAGCCUGCUGUGCUAACACGAGGGCUGAGAGCACAAGCACACACAGCCUAGUACAGCAGGUAGGCUGCUCCUGUAAGCUGGAGCUUCUCCUUCACCUGCACUACAGGAAUGGAAGAGACUGAUCAGGACUUAAGCCAGGGACACAUGAACAUUGAUCUGUUGUGUGCUGAGUAAAGCAUAGCCCUUUGUGCUCCAGGAGUACACAGCACCUACCAGCACUGCCAGAGUCCCUCAUGCUGGGGGGGAUGGGGUUUUCAGCAGGAACCACAACCUUCUGCAUCUGGAGCAGUCGAGAUUCCUACAGCCUUACCAGGCUAUUGAGGAAAUUAAUUGUACUUCACUUAAGGUAUUUCAGGAAGAGACUCACUCUCCAAAUGCAAGGCUUUCUCAGAGCACUGAAAGACAAUAAUUUCCAAAUGGGUUCCAUAAAGAGAUUUAAGCCACUUAAUCUCAGAACGAAAUACUAGAAACAAUUUUAAUUCUUCUGCCAAAUGAUGAGUUUGUAAUUCUGGUUUCUAUAGUUUCUGACGUCCAAUCUCUGAAUUGGAGCAAAAGAGAGUUAACCUACCUCACCUCCUACAGACAAUAUUCAGGCGUUCCAAUGCAGAAGUCCAUUUCCCAAGCUCUAUUUUCUAUCGUGUGUGUGUGUGCACGUCCACAUAUGAGAAAAUGUGUGGCUUAAUGAGUAUUUACAGCUUUGACACAGCCAGAAAAGCCCCAGGCCUCCUAUGAACUGCUUUGUUCUCCCAAGACAUUUUAUACAGCAUAUUCCAUCUCCCAUUUAUCACGGUGCCCUGGGAAGACAGAACUGGCACGCUUUCACCAGUGAAUGCUGGAGUUUUUUUGGGUUUGGGUUUUGGGGCUUUUUGUUUGCCUGUUUGCUUGCUUUGUUUUUGGUUUGUUCCUCCAGAGACCAUCAAAUCUCAUAACUCUCUGCUACUUUAAACUAAUGUAAGAAUUACUGUCAGAAAACAAAGACAGAAAGUGAUUUGCAAGACAGCAUGCACUGCUGUGGAAGUAAUCCUGGGUCCAUGCUGAACUGUUCUUUUCGUAAGCAACACCUGUCUCAUGCUAUUAUUACAUUAACCAAAGCCAAAAGUAUCUAUCCGUGAUGAAAAAAUUUGCAGUCCAAAAAGAAGUUUACAGACAGUGGGCUCCAGGAACUCUGGCAGCACAGUCUUGUGUAUUACAGAAUCACACAAAGCCAGCACCUCAAUUUGGGGUUGAGUACAACCACCAAAGAAGGAUCUGCAGUGGGUGGCAAAAGCAGUCACAAUUGUAAAGUAACCAAGCAAAUAAUAAGCUGUGUCCAUAGGGGAUAGAAAUGCUAUAAUUUCAGAAUUGCACGCUGCCAUAAAUAAGUGAGAGGUUAUUUACUGAAGCACACAGACUAGGUUUGCAAUCACAUGGCUAUUCUGUGUGCAUGCUUUUGAAAAGAAAGCUGAAAUUGUUCGACAGCAGACACAGUGGCACCGCACGCAUUGUUUGGGCUAGUAGCAACGGUGCAUUGCUAUAUGGUAGCUUUGUAGAAAAGGGAGUUCAUGCCACCUCCUUGAGUUUAGCUGUCUUAAAUAUAAACAAUAAGGCUUCCUUUUCAAGUUGAAGUAUUGGUAUGUGGGAACAGGACAACAAGAUCAGUCCUGCUUACCAUUUCUCCCUGGAAUUUGGGCAGAGUUUGUGACCGAGGGCUGGCAAGAGUGCCAAAAGCUAAUUUUGCUGAUGAGUAGUGCCAACCACCUUGGUCCUCAGAGGAUUUCAACAUGGCAUUUUGGUACUUUUAAUCACAGCAAGAAACUGGUUUUCACAGAGUGGAGACUGGCUGUCUGAUGAUGUUUUUUGUAAAAGAUACAACUUGGAAAAGUUUCAGGAAAGCAUGUGUGAACUUCGUUUUAUACUUCAGCAAGUUUGACCGGGUCAUGAUUAUUCAGCAAGUCAAGAAUAAGCUGGUCUACGUUCACCCCUUAAAAUGCAGAGGAAUUUGGGCCUCCAAUAAGUAAGUGCUUACUUUGAUGGGUAGGACAACUUUCAAGCUGAAAAGGGGCAGGUAGACAAGUCUGAAGACUGCUCUAAUUACAGGGAGGUAUUUGGUACUGCAAUUUUAUCAGCAACACGGCACUGAUGGACUGAUGAACUUAAACCACUUAAAGUUAUAUAGGCACAAGAGAGAUCACUGUUACACAAGGUUACCAAAUUGUCCCAGGCUGUUUACUUAUGUCACAACACGUAUUUGUUGUUCUGGUUUGGGUUGUUUUGCUUUUGUUUUGUUUUUCUUUUUAAAUAGACAAAAAUUCUUAAAACAAAAAACAAAACAAAAAAAAGAUUUGAUGACAGAAGAAUAGAGAAAACUCUAACUGAGCCAGCUCUUGCUGAUUACAUAAGAUGAUGUUAACAUCUAUGUUAGCAAAUUAUGCAAUUUCUGCUUCCGUUAUUUAUCAAGGGGGAAAAAUGGAUAUCUCAUAUUAUUGGUACAUACUCCUACAGUACAGCCACCUUUAAGACAUGCUAGCUGCUUAAAAUCACACAGUAAAACUACAAACUCUACCAGUUUACUUGGAAAACUCACUGAUUAAGAAGUGAGCAGUAAUAUGUAAACUAAAAAAGUUUACUAGCUUCUAUGGCACUGAAUAGAU